AACGAACGCUGGCGGCGCGUUUUAAGCAUGCAAGUCGAACGGCAAGUUGGGUAGCAAUACCUGACCUAGAGUGGCGAACGGGUGAGUAAGACGUAGGUGAUCUACCCCUGGGUGGGGGAUAGUCCGUGGAAACACGGGGUAAUACCGCAUGAGGCCUUGUGGAUAGAGCCAUGAGGUGAAAGGUGCAAUUGCACCGUCUGGGGAUGAGCCUGCGCUCCAUUAGGUAGUUGGCGGGGUAAGAGCCCACCAAGCCUACGAUGGAUAGCCGGCCUGAGAGGGUGUACGGCCACACUGGAACUGAGACACGGUCCAGACUCCUACGGGUGGCAG
rnacentral:rRNA from 1 species